UAUUAUUAAAUUUCAAAAAAAAAGGUAUCAUUAGUUAUUAGUAAUUAAAAAAAGAAGGAAAAAGGCUUAAAAGCCCAUAAGAAGGGCUGUUGGAAACAAAAGCCUCCAAACCUUAAAAGAGAGGCAGAACGUUAUCAGAAUGACGGAAAGCAAAAGCUAAAAAAAAAAAAUAGAAUCGUUCGCUCACGAAACAGAGACUUCGUUUAUCACACAGGCAACGGAAAAAUCUAGGGUUUCUUACAAAUCACUAAUUCUUGAACUCAGAAACGAUUGUUUGACAGGUAUAAAUUGGACUGGAGUCUACAUAUUGGCCCAAGGAGUAUUGAGGAACCGGAUUUGCAGGCGAGCAGGCUACGAGUUAGGACUUCCUUCCCUUCCAGUGAUAUUGGUGAGCUCCGCUUUUGUUCGUGGAGUAUUCUUAGAGUCAUUUUCAUUUAGCUAUUUCUUUGUUUAUCUAGAGA